UAAUAUUUUGAUAUUUUCUAUUGCCAUUUAAUCAUUCGUUGAUCCCCUUUGUUCAUAGUUGUUAUAUCCGAUCGGUUGAUAGGUGUUAUUAGAUCAGUUUAUUAUUUGACUUCGUGCAGUUAGUUUCAUUCGCAAGAAAGAAAUAUACAUGAAAUAUUAUUAUUAUGAAGACCAAGAAGACAAUGUCGUUCUUAAGUAGAAUUUGUAAGUGCCGUGACAAUAAACAGAUGACUAUGGAAAUCGAAGAUCUCAUUUUAACGACAUCGUUAAAGGAAUCAGUUGAGUUCUCGUAUUAUGGAAUAUACACCGGGAGAAAACUGGCCUCUUAAAAUAAUCAUUCGAAGACCAUGUUGCAAAGAUAGCGAAGAAAUGUGUGUACCUCCGCUCCCCGAAAAGGCAAUGAACGCUAUUUUCAUUUUCAAAUGAGUUUAUUUCAAAGUAUACAAGAGUGUUGAUAGCAGGUAGACAAACAAAUAGGCAAAGUUGUUUGGUAAUUAGAAACCGAAUAUUUUUUUCGUUCAUUUUAACGAACCUUUCCUUUCUUUUCCUCUCUUUCAU